AAAAGUCGUAACAAGGUUUCCGUAGGUGAACCUGCGGAAGGAUCAUUGAUGUUUCCUUAAUCCAGAUGGACCGGAGGACGUGUUUCACUACUCGGGUCGGUCAGAUGCCGUGGCAGCUGUCCGCCUCGAACUGCUGGGGAUAGGCCACCCGUGUGGCCGAUUUCACCGGCACGAUAACCAACCCCCGGCGCGGAAUGCGCCAAGGAAAAUUCAUGAGUUCAACGCGCCCUUUCGACCCGGAAGCGGUGCUCGUCUGGGCGGCGUCGUCCUAUUAGGGUCAAAAAUGACUCCCGGCAACGGAUAUCUCGGCUCUUGCAUCGAUGAAGAACGUAGCGAAAUGCGAUACUUGGUGUGAAUUGCAGAAUCCCGUGAACCAUCGAGUCUUUGAACGCAAGUUGCGCCCGAGGCCACUAGGCUAAGGGCAUGCCUUCCUGGGUGUCACCUUACAUCCCCCAACCCCCGUGCCUUGUGUCGUGGAGCUGGGGGGAUGAUGGCUUCCCGUGAGCAUUGCCUCGCGGCUGGUUGAAAACAUUUCUACAUUCCGACGUGCAUUGCCGUGACAUUUGGUGGUUGAGUUGAAUCUCGAGGCCAGUCACGGGUGCCCCAAUCCCGGAAUUUAGAUAUAGAGACCCGUUCGUGGCAUCUGAUGCCCAUGAUGCGACCUCAGGUCAGGCAGGGCCACCCGCUGAGUUUAAGCAUAUCAUA
rnacentral:misc_RNA from 1 species